GGAGGGGUGCCUGAGUGGUUGAAAGGGCCGGUCUCGAAAACCGGAAUAGGUGCAAGCCUAUCGUGGGUUCGAAUCCCACCUCCUCCG
rnacentral:tRNA from 2 species